rnacentral:rRNA from 1 species
ACCUACGGGAGGCAGCAGUGGGGGAUAUUGCACAAUGGGGGGAACCCUGAUGCAGCGACGCCGCGUGGGUGAAGAAGCGCCUCCGCGCGUAAAGCCCCGUCCGCAGGGAAGAAAAUGACGGUACCUGAAGAAGAAGCCCCGGCUAACUACGUGCCAGCAGCCGCGGUAAUACGUAGGGGGCAAGCGUUAUCCGGAUUUACUGGGUGUAAAGGGGGCGCAGACGGCGAUGCAAGCCAGGAGUGAAAGCCCGGGGCCCAACCCCGGGACUGCUCUUGGCACUGCUUGGCUGUAGUGCGGGAGGGGCG